rnacentral:rRNA from 1 species
UACGUAGGGCGCAAGCGUUGUCCGGAAUUAUUGGGCGUAAAGAGCUCGUAGGCGGUUUGUCGCGUCUGCUGUGAAAACCUAAGGCUCAACCUUGGGCUUGCAGUGGGUACGGGCAGACUAGAGUGCGGUAGGGGUGACUGGAAUUCCUGAUGUAGCGGUGGAAUGCGCAGAUAUCAGGAGGAACACCGAUGGCGAAGGCAGGUCACUGGGCCGCAACUGACGCUGAGGAGCGAAAGCAUGGGGAGCGAACAGG